rnacentral:lncRNA from 1 species
AUUGAAUUCAUUCUUCUGGAGGCCUUGUGCUUCAGGUAGUUGUUGGAUGGCAGCCUCUCAGUUGGGAUAGGUGUAUCUUCUGGCACUAAGAUGAAUCACUAGAGGUGGGGCAGCGUGCUUGGAGAGGAUCCUGAAACAUCUACCUUCAGGCAGGUAGAGGAGGAAAUUGGCUUAGAAAAUCAUCCUGUUUUUAUGUUGAUUUUCAUUAUUUUCCUUUCAUAGAUUUUUCUGUGACCAUGAAAGAGAGAAAUAAAGA